rnacentral:rRNA from 1 species
UACAGAGGGUGCAAGCGUUAAUCGGAAUUACUGGGCGUAAAGCGAGCGUAGUCGGUUAUUUAAGUCGGGUGUGAAAGCCCCGGGCUCAACCUGGGAAUUGCAUUCGAUACUGGAUAGCUAGAGUUCGGCAGAGGGAAGCGGAAUUUCCGGUGUAGCGGUGAAAUGCGUGGAUAUCGGAAGGAACAUCAGUGGCGAAAGCGGCUUCCUGGACCAGAACUGACGAUCAGGCUCGAAAGCGUGGGGAGCAAACAGG